GAUGAACGCUAGCUACAGGCUUAACACAUGCAAGUCGCAGGGUAACAUGAGGAAAGCUUGCUUUCCUUGAUGACGACUGGCGCACGGGUGAGUAACGCGUAUCCAACCUUCCCAUAACUACGGGAUAACCCGUUGAAAGACGGCCUAAUACCGUAUGAUAUCGUUUGCUGACAUCAAAUAACGAUUAAAGGUUUAGCGGUUAUGGAUGGGGAUGCGUCUGAUUAGCUUGUUGGCGGGGUAACGGCCCACCAAGGCGACGAUCAGUAGGGGCUCUGAGAGGAAGGUCCCCCACAUUGGAACUGAGACACGGUCCAA
rnacentral:rRNA from 1 species